rnacentral:lncRNA from 1 species
AGUCCGCGACAGCUAGGCGCGUGAGACCGGCCGCCCGCAGGGCUGCUCUGGCCGGGACCCGCUGGCCGGGAGACGCGAACCUGCCGGACCACCGCGCGGGGACGACGGCGGCCAUGAGCUCGCGGAAGCUGAGCGGGCCGAAAGGCAGGAGGCUCAGCACAUACAUCAGGAGGUCUGCCUGAUCCCAUGGUGAACCCCGGGAAUCCGAAAUCAGAUUGAGAUAAGAUCCUUUAGGGAAGUGACUUAGCCUGGUCUCUUGCCUGCUCUUUCACGGGGAACAACGCUAAUCGCCCACUUAGUCUAAGUCACGAUGCUUGGAUUUGCUGCUAAUCGUCGGAUUUGAGAGUGGGAACAAGAAAUCCGGACUUUUGCUCUCCAUCCUCUUAGAAUCUCCAGCUGCUGCAGCAUACACGUCGUGACUUGGAACGUGGCUUCGGCAGCGCCCCCUCUAGAUCUCAGUGACCUGCUUCAGCUGAACAACCGGAACCUCAAUCUUGACAUAUAUGUUAUUGGUUUGCAGGAAUUGAACUCUGGGAUCAUAAGCCUCCUUUCCGAUGCUGCCUUUAAUGACUCGUGGAGCAGUUUCCUCAUGGAUGUGCUUUCCCCUCUGAGCUUCAUCAAGGUCUCCCAUGUCCGUAUGCAGGGGAUCCUCUUACUGGUCUUUGCCAAGUAUCAGCAUUUGCCCUAUAUCCAGAUUCUGUCUACUAAAUCCACCCCCACUGGCCUGUUUGGGUACUGG